rnacentral:rRNA from 1 species
AACGCUAGCUACAGGCUUAACACAUGCAAGUCGAGGGGUAGCAGGGUAGCAAUACCGCUGACGACCGGCGCACGGGUGAGUAACACGUAUCCAACCUACCACUAACUCAGGGAUAGCCUUUCGAAAGAAAGAUUAAUACUUGAUAGCAUAACGAAAGGGCAUCCUUUUGUUAUUAAAGAAUUUCGGUCAUCGAUGGGGAUGCGUUCCAUUAGGUUGUUGGCGGGGUAACGGCCCACCAAGCCUUCGAUGGAUAGGGGUUCUGAGAGGAAGGUCCCCCACAUUGGAACUGAGACACGGUCCAAACUCCUACGGGAGGCAGCAGUGAGGAAUAUUGGUCAAUGGACGAGAGUCUGAACCAGCCAAGUAGCGUGAAGGAUGACUGCCCUAUGGGUUGUAAACUUCUUUUAUACGGGAAUAAAGUGAGGCACGUGUGCCUUUUUGUAUGUACCGUAUGAAUAAGGAUCGGCUAACUCCGUGCCAGCAGCCGCGGUAAUACGGAGGAUCCGAGCGUUAUCCGGAUUUAUUGGGUUUAAAGGGAGCGUAGGCGGACGCUUAAGUCAGUUGUGAAAGUUUGCGGCUCAACCGUAAAAUUGCAGUUGAUACUGGGUGUCUUGAGUACAGUAGAGGCAGGCGGAAUUCGUGGUGUAGCGGUGAAAUGCUUAGAUAUCACGAAGAACUCCGAUUG